rnacentral:rRNA from 1 species
GAUGAACGCUAGCGGCAGGCCUAACACAUGCAAGUCGAGGGGUAGCAGGAUUAAGCUUGCUUAAUUGCUGACGACCGGCGCACGGGUGCGUAACGCGUAUGCAACCUACCUUAUACUGGGGUAUAGCCCGGAGAAAUUCGGAUUAAUCCCCCAUAGUACUAAUGAAUCGCAUGGUUUAUUAGUUAAAGCAUUGCGGUAUAAGAUGGGCAUGCGUCCUAUUAGCUAGAUGGUGAGGUAACGGCUCACCAUGGCUACGAUAGGUAGGGGGCCUGAGAGGGUGGUCCCCCACGCUGGUACUGGGACACGGACCAGACUACUACGGGAGGCAGCAGUGAGGAAUAUUGGUCAAUGGGCGCAAGCCUGAACCAGCCAUGCCGCGUGCAGGAAGAAUGCCCUAUGGGUUGUAAACUGCUUUUAUUUGGGAAUAAACCUCUUUACGUGUAGAGAGCUGAAGGUACCAAAUGAAUAAGCACCGGCUAACUCCGUGCCAGCAGCCGCCGUAA